rnacentral:tRNA from 1 species
ACAGAAUUAGUUUAAUUGAAAAUUUUAACUUGUCGAGUUAAGGAUAAUCGGAGAUUAUUUUGUA